rnacentral:rRNA from 1 species
AGUGAACGCUGGCGGUAGGCCUAACACAUGCAAGUCGAACGGCAGCACAGUAAGAGCUUGCUCUUACGGGUGGCGAGUGGCGGACGGGUGAGGAAUACAUCGGAAUCUACUUUUUCGUGGGGGAUAACGUAGGGAAACUUACGCUAAUACCGCAUACGACCUACGGGUGAAAGCAGGGGAUCUUCGGACCUUGCGCGAUUGAAUGAGCCGAUGUCGGAUUAGCUAGUUGGCGGGGUAAAGGCCCACCAAGGCGACGAUCCGUAGCUGGUCUGAGAGGAUGAUCAGCCACACUGGAACUGAGACCCGGUCCAGACUCCUACGGGAGGCAGCAGUGGGGAAUAUUGGACCAUGGGCGCAAGCCUGAUCCAGCCAUGCCGCGUGGGUGAAGAAGGCCUUCGGGUUGUAAAGCCCUUUUUUUGGGAAAGAAAAGCAGCAGGUUAAUACCCCGCUGUUCUGACGGUACCCAAAGAAUAAGCACCGGCUAACUUCGUG